rnacentral:tRNA from 1 species
GCCGACUUAGCUCAGUAGGUAGAGCAACUGCCCUGUAAUCGUAGGUCACCAGCGUUCGAUUCCGGUAGUCGGCACCA